rnacentral:tRNA from 1 species
GGGCCUGUAGCUCAGGUGGUUAGAGCGCACGCCUGAUAAGCGUGAGGUCGGUCGUUCAACUCGACCCAGGCCCA